rnacentral:misc_RNA from 1 species
UACAGAGGGUGCGAACGUUGUUCGGAACCACUGGGCAUAAAGCGCACGUAGGCGGCACCAUAAGUGCGAGGUGAAAUCCCACGGCUUACCCGUGGAACUGCUUUGCAGACUGUGGUGCUAGAGGAUGGUAGGGGAGAGCGGAACUCUUGGUGGAGCGGUGAAAUGCGUAGAGAUCAAGAGGAACACCGGUGGCGAAGGCGGCCCUCUGGUCCAUAUCUGACGCUGAGGUGCGAAAGCUAGGGGAGCAAACGGG